GACAGAGGGUGCAAACGUUGUUCGGAAUUACUGGGCGUAAAGCGCGUGUAGGCGGCCGGGCAAGUCGGAUGUUAAAGCCCACGGCUCAACCGUGGAAGUGCACCCGAAACUGCCUCGCUAGAGUCUCGGAGAGGAAGGUGGAAUGCUUGGUGUAGAGGUGAAAUUCGUAGAUAUCAAGCGGAACACCGGUGGCGAAGGCGGCCUUCUGGACGAUGACUGACGCUGAGACGCGAAAGCGUGGGGAGCAAACAGG
rnacentral:rRNA from 1 species